rnacentral:rRNA from 1 species
UGCAAGUCGAACGGUAGCACAGAGAGCUUGCUCUCGGGUGACGAGUGGCGGACGGGUGAGUAAUGUCUGGGAAACUGCCUGAUGGAGGGGGAUAACUACUGGAAACGGUAGCUAAUACCGCAUAAUGUCUCAAGACCAAAGAGGGGGACCUUCGGGCCUCUUGCCAUCAGAUGUGCCCAGAUGGGAUUAGCUAGUACGUGGGGUAACGGCUCACCUAGGCGACGAUCCCUAGCUGGUCUGAGAGGAUGACCAGCCACACUGGAACUGAGACACGGUCCAGACUCCUACGGGAGGCAGCAGUGGGGAAUAUUGCACAAUGGGCGCAAGCCUGAUGCAGCCAUGCCGCGUGUAUGAAGAAGGCCUUCGGGUUGUAAAGUACUUUCAGCGGGGAGGAAGGUGUUGUGGUUAAUAACCGCAGCAAUUGACGUUACCCGCAGAAGAAG